UGCAAGUCGAACGAUGAAGCCCAGCUUGCUGGGUGGAUUAGUGGCGAACGGGUGAGUAACACGNGAGUAACCUGCCCUUAACUCUGGGAUAAGCCUGGGAAACUGGGUCUAAUACCGGAUAGGAGCGYCCACCGCAUGGUGGGUGUUGGAAAGAUUUAUCGGUUUUGGAUGGACUCGCGGCCUAUCAGCUUGUUGGUGAGGUAAUGGCUCACCAAGGCGACGACGGGUAGCCGGCCUGAGAGGGUGACCGGCCACACUGGGACUGAGACACGGCCCAGACUCCUACGGGAGGCAGCAGUGGGGAAUAUUGCACAAUGGGCGMAAGCCUGAUGCAGCGACGCCGCGUGAGGGAUGACGGCCUUCGGGUUGUAAACCUCUUUCAGUAGGGAAGAAGCGAAAGUGACGGUACCUGCAGAAGAAGCACCGGCUAACUACGUGCCAGCAGCCGCGGUAAUACGUAGGGUGCGAGCGUUAUCCGGAAUUAUUGGGCGUAAAGAGCUCGUAGGCGGUUUGUCGCGUCUGUCGUGAAAGUCCGGGGCUUAACCCCGGAUCUGCGGUGGGUACGGGCAGACUAGAGUGCAGUAGGGGAGACUGGAAUUCCUGGUGUAGCGGUGGAAUGCGCAGAUAUCAGGAGGAACACCGAUGGCGAAGGCAGGUCUCUGGGCUGUAACUGACGCUGAGGAGCGAAAGCAUGGGGAGCGAACAGGAUUAGAUACCC
rnacentral:rRNA from 1 species